UUGCGCAAUCGGGAAAAGCCCGACGCAAACGCCGCCUGGAAGAUAAAUGUUACGUUGCAGAGGAAGAAAAUGCUGGUUUACCGGGGUACACUGACGGUAUCUGCGAAUAAGAAACGGCUAACUCUGUGCCAGCAGCCGCGGUGAUACAGGGGUGGCAACCGUGUUGUCCGGAUUUACUGGGUGUAAAGGGUGCGCAGGCGGGCUCAUAAGUCGGGGGAUAAAUCCAUGUGCUUAACACAUGCAUGGCU
rnacentral:rRNA from 1 species